GACGUAGGGCGCGAGCGUUGUCCGGAUUUAUUGGGCGUAAAGAGCUCGUAGGCGGCUUGUUACGUCGACUGUGAAAUCCCGCGGCUCAACUGCGGGCUUGCAGUCGAUACGGGCAGGCUAGAGUUCGGUAGGGGAGACUGGAAUUCCUGGUGUAGCGGUGAAAUGCGUAGAUAUCGAGAGGAACACCUGCGGCGAAGGCGGGUUGCUGGGCUGACACUGACGCUGAUGCGCGAAAGCGUGGGGAGCGAACAGG
rnacentral:rRNA from 1 species